rnacentral:rRNA from 1 species
UACGUAGGUGGCAAGCGUUGUCCGGAUUUACUGGGCGUAAAGAGCGCGCAGGCGGCCCUGCAAGUCGGGUGUGAAAUCCCACGGCUCAACCGUGGAAGUGCACUCGAAACUGCAGGGCUAGAGUCCUGGAGAGGAAGGUGGAAUGCUUGGUGUAGAGGUGAAAUUCGUAGGUAUCAAGCGGAACACCGGUGGCGAAGGCGGCCUUCUGGACAGUGACUGACGGCGUGAGACGGCGAAAAGCGUGG